rnacentral:lncRNA from 1 species
AUGCGUAUUUUAUUCAGUAUAAUAACCCAAUAAUAAAAGUCCCACUGCCAUAUUACCAAUAGCAUAAAAGACUUUGUACUAUCGAGUCUUCUAUCGUCAAAUUUAAUUUUUUAAUUAUUUUAUCCAUUAGAGUGCACUAUCCAACCAAUCACCCACUCCAUCCUAAAGUGCCCACAUCAUCCUAAUCGUACAUUUCUCAAUCCAACAACUAAAAAACUAAUAGCACUAAUUGCUUGGUGCUAUUGAUAGUAUUUCAACCUAGUUCUAAUAAUAAUAUUGUCUGUAUAUUCUUCAAAUACCACUCCUGCGGUUUCACAUUUUCUCACUUUAGUAUUCAGUGGUUUAAUUAAAGUGUAUCAAUUUAGUACCCCGCAGUUUCAUUUUUUUCUUUUCGUUAGCUUCUCCGUUAACAUUUCAUUAAAUUAUAUACAAAAAAAACUUCAGAUACCUCACCUAGGUUUAUCGAAUAUUUAUUUUAGUACCUUUUAGUUUUAACUUUGUUAUUGAUUUAACGAAAACAAAAUUAGUGGAGGAGAUAAUAAAAAGAGAAAAAUGAAACCACGGGUACUAAAUUGAUACACUUUAAAUCACAAAGUACUAAAAUAAAAAAGUGCGAAACCACAGGGAUGGUAUUUGAAGUUUUCCUACUUAUUAUAGACUAUAUAUAUAUAUAUUAUAUAUUAUAUAUAUAUAUAGAGUCCGGCUAGGGUGUUUUUAAGCACUUGAUGUUUGUAGGUUUUCCACCAUUAGAUCUAUUCAUUUAACUAUUUUCAUACAUUAGAUUAUAGUAUUCAACCAACUAUCCACUCAACCCUAGGGGACCGUUAUCAUUCUACCCGCACAUUCCUUAAUCUAAAGACUGAAAACCUACCAGCACCAAUUACUUCGUAUUUUUAAAAACAUAGGAGCUCAAUUCAUAUUAUAUGAUCCAAAAUUUUUUAAGAUGAAUUAUAUGUUUGGUCCUCAAACUAUAAAGGUAACUAAUAUUUUGAUUCUCAAAUUUUAAUUUAUUAUAAUGUUUGCAAUUAGAUUUCACAAUUCAAUUUAGUUGGUUAAUUGGCACAUUAUCAAUUACAAUAUUACU